AGAGUUUGAUCAUGGCUCAGAUUGAACGCUGGCGGCAUGCCUUACACAUGCAAGUCGAACGGCAGCACGGGAGCAAUCCUGGUGGCGAGUGGCGAACGGGUGAGUAAUACAUCGGAACGUGCCCAGUAGUGGGGGAUAGCCCGGCGAAAGCCGGAUUAAUACCGCAUACGACCUACGGGUGAAAGCGGGGGAUCGCAAGACCUCGCGCUAUUGGAGCGGCCGAUGUCAGAUUAGCUAGUUGGUAGGGUAAAAGCCUACCAAGGCGACGAUCUGUAGCUGGUCUGAGAGGACGACCAGCCACACUGGGACUGAGACACGGCCCAGACUCCUACGGGAGGCAGCAGUGGGGAAUUUUGGACAAUGGGCGCAAGCCUGAUCCAGCCAUGCCGCGUGCGGGAAGAAGGCCUUCGGGUUGUAAACCGCUUUUGUCAGGGAAGAAACGCUCCGAAUUAAUACCUCGGAGUAAUGACGGUACCUGAAGAAUAAGCACCGGCUAACUACGUGCCAGCAGCCGCGGUA
rnacentral:rRNA from 1 species